rnacentral:rRNA from 1 species
UACGUAGGGGGCAAGCGUUAUCCGGAUUUACUGGGUGUAAAGGGAGCGUAGACGGCAGUGCAAGUCUGAAGUGAAAGGCGGGGGCCCAACCCCCGGACUGCUUUGGAAACUGUGCUGCUGGAGUGCAGGAGAGGCAAGUGGAAUUCCUAGUGUAGCGGUGAAAUGCGUAGAUAUUAGGAGGAACACCAGUGGCGAAGACGGCUUGCUGGACUGUAACUGACGUUGAGGCUCGAAAGCGUGGGGAGCAAACAGG